CCUUGUGCACGAGAAUGCACUCCACCACCAAGUUCCAUAACCGGCACUGGAGCAGGAGCCUUUGAGCAAGAUCUGCAAACGCUUGGCACAGAACCAACCUCCGCUGACCACUCUUGAGUUAUCGAGGCCAGGCUGGUGGAGAAGAACGCUGACGCGGGGCUUCAGAGGAGGAACGCUUAUGCAAGGGAAGAGAUCUGAUCCUUACCUCCGGUUUUCCAUAUGGGCAGAAGCUGGCUCAGUAACAGGGCUGCGGCCUUCUCAUUCACCCUCAGGAUCUGAAAUCAGAGUAAAUAAGGCACAGAAGAGAAGACAUAUAUCCAGUUUGGCGUUCUCACAUCAGGGAACAUACAGUGUAGGAUGUGUGCGAUGCUUCUGCCAAGGGAACUUUGUUGAGGCAUUUGUGGGGACAAGGGGAACACCUUGAAGGUCAGUACUAAAGGGAUCGAGUUGAUGACUCUAAGGGUUGAGGAUGCUGGUCUGGGAUACCUUUCCUUGUUUCCAAAGAUACCAGCUCCAUCUGGACCACAGCAGACAUCAUCAGGGGAACCCGGGAAAGGCUGAGUUUCAGGAUUAUAGCCUGUGGAGAAAGUGAGGCUCGGGGAGUCUGAACUCCUGGCCAUGUCCCGCGUUGAUGACCUUAUGAUGGGGCGGCACGUGUGC